UACGGAGGGUGCAAGCGUUAUCCGGAUUUACUGGGUUUAAAGGGUGCGUAGGUGGGCAGGUAAGUCAGUGGUGAAAUCUCCGGGCUUAACUCGGAAACUGCCAUUGAUACUAUCUGUCUUGAAUAUCCUGGAGGUGAGCGGAAUAUGUCAUGCAGCGGUGAAAUGCUUAGAUAUGACAUAGAACACCCAUUGCGAAGGCAGCUCACUACGGGAUUAUUGACACUGAGGCACGAAAGCGUGGGGAUCAAACAGG
rnacentral:rRNA from 1 species